CUCCUUGGCCGCUGCCACACUCAUGCAUUAGUGGAUACCUGAUAAAUGUUUGAUUGAUUUAUAUAUAUAUAAUUUUACGUUUAAAAGAAAUAUGCAAACAAUAUUGGGGGAAUGAGUCAGGGGGCCAAUGUGUGUAUAUAUGUGGUAUAUGUUCUGAAGGAGACCUGUGGCCCUUGUUCUGCGGGUUCUCCUUGACCUUCUGUAGGAGACUCUGGGGAUGAGAUGGCCAUGGAGGAUCAGCGGGUGCUCCGGUGGAGGUGCCUCACGACCCUAACCCUGACUCCCAGCCGGACUCUCUGUGGUGGGCCGCCUCCUUGACAGGAACUGACGCACAGCUCCCUGGAGACCCCUACGGUGGACGAGACCCCUGUGGUGGACGAGACCUCGGUGUCGGGCUACGUCUACCACCAGCUGCUGGGCCACGAGGGGGGGGGAGGACGUAGUCAUCAGGUGUCCGCUCCCCACGCGCUUCACCGCCCCGGGCAUGCCCGGCCUCCACCAAUCCCGGGUGGGAGGGCACCAUCCAUCCCUCCUUACAACCAGCAGGCAGUGCUGGGACGUGCUGAGACGGCUCCCCUGCACUUAUAUUCGUGGAUGAUAAUGAGUAAAACGGGCAUGAGCUUGGUUAGUUUAUAAUUACAGAGCAAAACACACCUCGCAUUCUUCUGCUAAACUUACGGAAACAAAACACACCUCACACAAUACCAACCUCAGUUACUAUGCGUGUGAUUUCGGUGUGUGCGUGCGCGGGGUGUAAAAAAGGGUAAUCCCGUGGACUCCUACCUUUUGUAUUUCACCUGGUUCUUUUCCACCAGGGUUUAAAACCAUAUUUUCCACCUGCUGUCAUUAAGGUGUAUGAGGCGUAGACCGUCCUACAGCGCCCCCUGAGUCUGAUCCAGGUACUACAGGCACCGUGCUCAACCACCUGGCCAGGCGGGGCAGCGGGUAACUCGCUGUGUCUGAGCUUGGCCCGGUGUGAUGAUGUUUGCUGUGAGCUGUGUGGCCCAAUAGGACAGGGCUUAGAGGGUGUUUGUCUGGAACAGGGGUUCCCAAACUCCUUUAACCCGAGACCCAAAAGAGAAAUUUGCUGUCUCCCCGGAACCCAAACGUACAAGAUGCAGCAUGAAUUGCCGUAACAUCUACUUUAAAAAUGUUGAUAAAGAAUAC
rnacentral:lncRNA from 1 species